rnacentral:lncRNA from 1 species
AUUACCCAAUCCAUAUUAACCAUGAGAUUGGGUUCGAGCCUUGGCAUGCCCGAGUGGUAUUACCCAAUCCAUAUUAACCAUGAGAUUGGGUUCGAGCCUUGGCAUGUCAAGGCAGGGUGUGUGAGUGUGUUCAAAUUAGCAAAAAAAAAUAAAAUUGGAACUUGGCUUCUCACAAAGGUGCCCACAUCUACAAACAACAUUAAG